rnacentral:sRNA from 1 species
UAUCGGGGUGUUCUAUGAUAUCGUCGGA